rnacentral:rRNA from 1 species
AUUGAACGCUGGCGGCAUGCUUUACACAUGCAAGUCGAACGGUAACAGGCCUUCGGGUGCUGACGAGUGGCGAACGGGUGAGUAAUGCAUCGGAACGUGCCCAAUCGUGGGGGAUAACGUAGCGAAAGUUACGCUAAUACCGCAUAAGCCCUGAGGGGGAAAGCAGGGGAUCGCAAGACCUUGCGCGAAUGGAGCGGCCGAUGUCAGAUUAGCUAGUUGGUGGGGUAAAGCCUACCAAGGCGACGAUCUGUAGCUGGUCUGAGAGGAUGGCCAGCCACACUGGAACUGAGACACGGUCCAGACUCCUACGGGAGGCAGCAGUGGGGAAUAUUGGACAAUGGGGGCAACCCUGAUCCAGCCAUGCCGCGUGUGUGAAGAAGG